rnacentral:rRNA from 2 species
GAGUUUGAUCAUGGCUCAGAAUGAACGCUGGCGGCAGGCCUAACACAUGCAAGUCGAACGGAGUUAUAUUGUAGCUUGCUAUGGUAUAACUUAGUGGCAGACGGGUGAGUAAUGUAUAGGAAUCUACCUAGUAGUACGGAAUAAUUGUUGGAAACGGCAACUAAUACCGUAUACGCCCUACGGGGGAAAAAUUUAUUGCUAUUAGAUGAGCCUAUAUUAGAUUAGUUAGUUGGUGAGGUAAAGGCUUACCAAGACAAUGAUCUAUAGCUGAUCUGAGAGGAUGAUCAGCCACACUGGAACUGAGAUACGGUCCAGACUCCUACGGGAGGCAGCAGUGGGGAAUAUUGGACAAUGGGCGAAAGCCUGAUCCAGCCAUGCCGCAUGAGUGAAGAAGGCCUUCGGGUUGUAAAGCUCUUUUAGUGAGGAAGAUAAUGACGGUACUCACAGAAGAAGUCCUGGCUAACUCCGUGCCAGCAGCCGCGGUAAUACGGAGAGGNC